GCCUGCAACUCGGCUGCAUGAAGCUGGAAUCGCUAGUAAUCGCGGAUCAGAAUGCCGCGGUGAAUACGUCCCCGGGUCUUGUACACACCGCCCGUCACACCAUGGGAGUCGGAUAUGCCCGAAGCCGGUGACCUAACCGCAAGGAAGGAGCCGUCGAAGGUGGAGCCGAUGACUGGGGUGAAGUCGUAACAAGGUAUC
rnacentral:rRNA from 1 species